rnacentral:rRNA from 1 species
CUUAGUAGCGGCGAGUGAAGCGCGCAAAAGCUCAAAUUUGAAAUCUCGGCGCCUUCGGUGUCCGAGUUGUAAUUUGAAGAUUGUAACCUUGGGGUUGGCUCUUGUCUAUGUUUCUUGGAACAGGACGUCACAGAGGGUGAGAAUCCCGUGCGAUGAGAUGCCCAAUUCUAUGUAAGGUGCUUUCGAAGAGUCGAGUUGUUUGGGAAUGCAGCUCUAAGUGGGUGGUAAAUUCCAUCUAAAGCUAAAUAUUGGCGAGAGACCGAUAGCGAACAAGUACAGUGAUGGAAAGAUGAAAAGAACUUUGAAAAGAGAGUGAAAAAGUACGUGAAAUUGUUGAAAGGGAAGGGUUUGAGAUCAGACUCGAUAUUUUGUGAGCCUUGCCUUCGUGGCGGGGUGACCCGCAGCUUAUCGGGCCAGCAUCGGUUUGGGCGGUAGGAUAAUGGCGUAGGAAUGUGACUUUACUUCGGUGAAGUGUUAUAGCCUGCGUUGAUGCUGCCUGCCUAGACCGAGGACUGCGAUUUUAUCAAGGAUGCUG